CGGGUCCUAGUGCGAGCGGGUGGCCCCGGGGGUCGCAGCGCGGGGCCGCCGUUCCCCGCGGGACCCCACGCGUGACCGCGGCCACCGCGCCGUCACUGCGACCCUCCCGUCGCCACCCAGCCCUUCCUCGGCGGGACGAAGAUCCGUCGCCCAGCUGAUUGACAAACACCCACGGCUGCGGCGGUUCCUGCUCGUGCCCCGGCAAACCCACCACAGCCGGGAGCAGAAAACUCACCAGAAGCUGUUUAACCAUAAAAAAGCGACGACUGAGGUUGGGGAUAUCUCACAAGCGACGGCACGAGCUCCGGUCCCGGCGUUCCCGGCGUUCCCGGCGCGCGGCGUGUGCCGCAGGAUUCACCGCAGCGGGAACGGCGCCGGGAACCGCGGCUCCGAGAGCUCGGAAAUGAAACCAGCAAAUCCUGCCAAACAUCCAGCGAGCAAAGAGCCAAAAGCCCUUAAAUGUGACUCGAGAGACGCUGGAGCAGCAAAACAAAGUGAUUAAAUGGAUGAUAAAACUAUAAAAUAAAGUGAUAAAAUAGAGGACAAA